UACACUCCUGCGGGAGGCAGCAGUGGGGAAUAUUGCACAAUGGGCGCAAGCCUGAUGCAGCCAUGCCGCGUGUAUGAAGAAGGCCUUCGGGUUGUAAAGUACUUUCAGCGGGGAGGAAGGCGAUAAGGUUAAUAACCUUGUCGAUUGACGUUACCCGCAGAAGAAGCACCGGCUAACUCCGUGCCAGCAGCCGCGGUAAUACGGAGGGUGCAAGCGUUAAUCGGAAUUACUGGGCGUAAAGCGCACGCAGGCGGUCUGUCAAGUCGGAUGUGAAAUCCCCGGGCUCAACCUGGGAACUGCAUUCGAAACUGGCAGGCUAGAGUCUUGUAGAGGGGGGUAGAAUUCCAGGUGUAGCGGUGAAAUGCGUAGAGAUCUGGAGGAAUACCGGUGGCGAAGGCGGCCCCCUGGACAAAGACUGACGCUCAGGUGCGAAAGCGUGGGGAGCAAACAGGAUUAGAAACCCUUGUAGUCCC
rnacentral:rRNA from 1 species